rnacentral:rRNA from 1 species
UCCGUAGGUGAACCUGCGGACCUCUCGGGGUUACAGCCUUGCUGAAUUAUUCACCCUUGUCUUUUGCGUACUUCUUGUUUCCUUGGUGGGUUCGCCCACCACUAGGACAAACAUAAACCUUUUGUAAUUGCAAUCAGCGUCAGUAACAAAUUAAUAAUUACAACUUUCAACAACGGAUCUCUUGGUUCUGGCAUCGAUGAAGAACGCAGCGAAAUGCGAUAAGUAGUGUGAAUUGCAGAAUUCAGUGAAUCAUCGAAUCUUUGAACGCACAUUGCGCCCUUUGGUAUUCCAAAGGGCAUGCCUGUUCGAGCGUCAUUUGUACCCUCAAGCUUUGCUUGGUGUUGGGCGUCUUGUCUCUAGCUUUGCUGGAGACUCGCCUUAAAGUAAUUGGCAGCCGGCCUACUGGUUUCGGAGCGCAGCACAAGUCGCACUCUCUAUCAGCAAAGGUCUAGCAUCCAUUAAGCCUUUUUUUCAACUUUUGACCUCGGAUCAGGUAGGGAUACCCGCUGAACUUAAGCAUAUCAAUAAGCGGAGGA